rnacentral:rRNA from 1 species
AUUGAACGCUGGCGGCAUGCCUUACACAUGCAAGUCGAACGGUAACAGGUUAAGCUGACGAGUGGCGAACGGGUGAGUAAUACAUCGGAACGUGCCCAGACGUGGGGGAUAGCUCGGCGAAAGCCGGAUUAAUACCGCAUAAGCUCUGAGGAGGAAAGCGGGGGACCGUAAGGCCUCGCGCGUUUGGAGCGGCCGAUGGCAGAUUAGGUAGUUGGUGGGGUAUAGGCUUACCAAGCCUACGAUCUGUAGCUGGUCUGAGAGGACGACCAGCCACACUGGGACUGAGACACGGCCCAGACUCCUACGGGAGGCAGCAGUGGGGAAUUUUGGACAAUGGGCGAAAGCCUGAUCCAGCAAUGCCGCGUGCAGGAUGAAGGCCUUCGGGUUGUAAACUGCUUUUGUACGGAGCGAAAAGGCGCCUACUAAUACUGGGUGUUGAUGACGGUACCGUAAGAAUAAGCACCGGCUAACUACGUGCCAGCCGCCGCCGUAAAAC